rnacentral:rRNA from 1 species
GUUUGAUUCUGGCUCAGAACGAACGCUGGCGGCGCGUCUUAAACAUGCAAGUCGAACGAUCUGUAGCAAUACAGGGAGUGGCGGACGGGUGAGGAACACGUAGGAAUCUACCUCAGAGAGCGGGACAACCUUGGGAAACCGGGGCUAAUACCGUAUAGUACAGAGAUGUUAAAGGGCUAGUAAUAGUCGCUUUGAGAUGAGCCUGCGGUCUAUCAGCUAGUUGGCGGGGUAAUGGCCCACCAAGGCAACGACGGAUAGCCGGUCUGAGAGGAUGAUCGGCCACACUGGCACUGAGACACGGGCCAGACUCCUACGGGAGGCAGCAGUUAAGAAUCUUGCGCAAUGGACGAAAGUCUGACGCAGCGACGCCGCGUGAAGGAUGAAGGCUUUCGGGUUGUAAACUUCGGUAGACUGGAAGAAAAGUAAGUUACGUUGAGGGCGUUACAUUGACGGUACCAGUCUGAAGCCCGGCUAAUUACGUGCCAGCAGCCGCGGUAAUACGUAU